CAUGUCUUUAUUCACAAACAGACGAGCCAUGGUUAACGAUCGUCAUCCUGCAGCUUAAACAAAAACAUCAGUCAGCAAGUACUGAUACAGAAGGCCAGAGCGAAGACCGCUACAGCGAAUGGGCGUACAGGCCAGAAAUGGAUAAAGGCCAUUGUUGUGGCAGUUGGUCUUCAACAGAACUGCAAGCAAGGUACAACAAUGCUACAAAAUAUGAUCUUGCUAUUCCCUAAGAUGCUGCUUGACCUCCAGAGUUCCUCCAGCAUCUGCAGUCUCUUGUGUUUCUACUAUCGCAAAAAUGGCUGAUGACAGAGAAUGAAACAAGUCAAAGGCAGAAGACUCUGCUGGGAAGAUCAGGACCCCAGUCCUUGGGGUCGCAUUGCCGAUGGCCGUUGGUGGGGCCGUCUUAAUACGCUCGGCAGAGGAUGGUGCUUGGAGAAGCUGUGCCAGAGGGGAUGGUCGUCGGCUCGGAGGUUCGACGGACUCAGAGUCCGCUGCGGUCAGGUCGCUUUCAGUGUGUGCUGUGUCUGCGAGGCUGGGUUCAACGUAACUUUCAUUGUGUGCUGCGUCUGUGAGGCUGAGUCGGGCGGCGCUGUGGAAGACCAUAGCGGGGGUACUCCCUUCUGCUGCUGGCGUGGGAUGGCGAGUCUGUCGGGACCCUGGGGGCUUGUGGAAACUGUGUGGUGUUUUAUUUUGAACUUAUAGUCCUUUAACAUCUUUGGACUAUUUUUUACUGUGCCCAUGGUCUGUUUUUUUUUAUCAAUUAUGCUAUUGUUUGCACUGUUGUAACUAUGUGGUUUUGUGCAGGUCUUGUAGCUUUAGUUUUUGGUCUUGUUUUGUCUGGUGGAUUUGGAGCUCCUUUCUGGGGAACGCACUAAGAUGGUAGCGCGAUAUUAAUACGCAGCAGCCUCUCCAGACUCUGGACUGGGGAUUGCCAAACAUUAUGUGGAUUUUCUGGUGUAGUCUGUUUUGUCAUAUGCUUUUGUGAUAUCAUUCUGGAGGAACGUUGUCUCAUUUUUUAACUGCAUUGCAUUUGUGGUUUCUAAAUGACAAUAAACUGAAUCUGAAUCUGAAAGAUACAAAUGCUCGAAAGCACGUACAACCAGGCUCAAGGACAAUUUCGAUCCCACUGUUAUUAGACUCCUGAUCAGACCUCUUAUAUGUUUUAAGAUGAACACUUGAUCUCCCAGUCUACCUUAUUGUGGCCCUUGUACCUUGUUUGUCUCUGUAAGUGCAAUAUUUUAUUCUGUUUUCAAUUUUCUUUUAACGACCUCAAUGUACUUAUGCAUGUCAUGAUCCUUCUAGAUAACAUAAAAGCCAAAGCUUUAUCAUUUAUGUCAGUACAUGUGACAAGAAGAAACUAAUAAUAAAACAAUUGACCACAGGGAUUUGUGUUCAAGUUCAAAGUUCAAAGUAAAUUUAUUAGUAAAGGACACACGUCACCAUAUAA